rnacentral:tRNA from 2 species
AGGGUUGUAGUUAAUAAUAACAUUUGAAUUGCACUCAAAAAGUACUGAUCACAGUCUACCUUA